rnacentral:rRNA from 1 species
UACGUAGGGUGCGAGCGUUGUCCGGAAUUAUUGGGCGUAAAGAGCUUGUAGGUGGUUUGUCGCGUCUGCUGUGAAAAUCCGGGGCUCAACCCCGGACUUGCGGUGGGUACGGGCAGACUAGAGUGUGGUAGGGGAGACUGGAAUUCCUGGUGUAGCGGUGAAAUGCGCAGAUAUCAGGAAGAACACCAAUGGCGAAAGCAGCUCUCUGGGACGGUACUGACGCUGAGACGCGAAAGCGUGGGGAGCGAACAGG